rnacentral:rRNA from 1 species
UGGGGAAUAUUGGGCAAUGGGCGCAAGCCUGACCCAGCAACGCCGCGUGAGGGAAGAAGGUCUUCGGAUUGUAAACCUCUGUCCUUGGGGACGAAAAAAAUGACGGUACCCAAGGAGGACGCUCCGGCUAACUACGUGACAGCAGCCGCGGUAAUACGUAGGGAGCGAGCGUUGUCCGGAAUUACUGGGCGUAAAGGGUGCGUAGGCGGCUUGGCAAGUCAGAUGUGAAAUCCCCGGGCGUAACUCGGGAGUUGCAUUUG